AUUUCAAGGACCUAUAUUGUAGUGGAAACUUCUGGAGCCUCCCUGACCAUCGGCUCAUAAGCAGCAAAGCAGAUGCCAGCAGGACACGCUCUGUCUUCAGGAUGUGUGCAGUCCACUUGGCCCCGCCGUGGGUAAAUCAAACACCGUUCAAUUCAGCAAGCCUCCAGCAUGGAGAUACUAGGCAAGAGGAGCUUGGUGUUGAGGAAUCGGUAGGCAAUUGUAGGCGAAGGUAGAGAGAAGCCGCUUGUUCUGGGGCGAGGCACUAGCAAGAGUAACAACAAAAGGAAGCUCAUUCAGAAAUUAGAGGGCUAGGUGUAGCAGCUUGUGCCUGUAAUCCUGGUGUUGGGCUCGGCGGUCCGGAGAUGAGGGCGUCCUUGAACCUCGCUGACCUAGCCUGAAUGGAUGGGCUUCAGGUUCAAACAAUGAAGGUGGAGUAUGCUUGAGGAAAGAUGGCUGCUGCCCACCUCUGGCCUCCACACACGAGUGCACAGGUGCACACACUCGCCCUAGCAAGUACAGUCCAACCCACACAAAAGGAGUUUUCGAGCUGAGGGACUUUAGGCUGGACAUGCAGAAAACAGGUAGGGUGUGGCUGGGGAAAGGCUGAGAAGGGAGAUGGGGACCCAAUUCAGCAGCGGGAGUUAGGAGAGAAGGCUGGGCCAGGAAGCCAAAGACAACACUGCCCAAAUUUUGUGGUGGUGGCUGUGGUGCAGUUCAUGAUAAGGUUUGCUCUGACCCAAGGUGUUGGGUUUGGGGGUGGGGCAGAGUGCCACAGUGACUGGGCUGAGAGAAAGACCGGCUGCAGAAUGGCUAGGACUUAGGAAGAGGAUUGCCUAUGCUGAAUGGUUUCUACUGGCAGCUGGGCUCCGGGAACUCCGGGUAGGAAGAGGCCUGAUAGACCUUAUUUACAGGCAGGGCUGGUACUGUAUGUUGUAGACAACUGGAUGCUGAAGGGCAGGCAUCCGUUCUGAGCCAUCAUGUAUAUACGUCUUUUUCUGUGGAAAAAGGCAUCAUGAAAUUCUAACCCAUCCAAUGAUCUCUUGCUGGGAAAGGGACAGCUCUGUAGGUCCAGGUGAGGGAGAGGCAGUUCUGACUCUGUCAUCCUGCAGGGCUCAGCUUAAGCAGUAUUUCAUCAAGGAGAGA
rnacentral:lncRNA from 1 species